rnacentral:rRNA from 1 species
AGGACGAACGCUGGCGGCGUGCUUAACACAUGCAAGUCGAGCGGAAAGGCCCUUCGGGGUACUCGAGCGGCGAACGGGUGAGUAACACGUGAGCAACCUGCCCUUAGCUCUGGGAUAGCUCCGGGAAACCGGAAUUAGUACCGGAUAUGACCUAGGCCGACAUCGGCCGUGGUGGAAAGUUUUUCGGCUAGGGAUGGACUCGCGGCCUAUCAGCUAGUUGGUGGGGUAAUGGCCUACCAAGGCGACGACGGGUA